AUUGAACGCUGGCGGCAUGCCUUACACAUGCAAGUCGAACGGCAGCACGGACUUCGGUCUGGUGGCGAGUGGCGAACGGGUGAGUAAUACAUCGGAACGUGCCCGGACGUGGGGGAUAACUACUCGAAAGAGUGGCUAAUACCGCAUACGAUCCAAGGAUGAAAGCGGGGGAUCGCAAGACCUCGCGCGUUUGGAGCGGCCGAUGGCAGAUUAGGUAGUUGGUGAGGUAAAGGCUUACCAAGCCUGCGAUCUGUAGCUGGUCUGAGAGGAUGAUCAGCCACACUGGGACUGAGACACGGCCCAGACUCCUACGGGAGGCAGCAGUGGGGAAUUUUGGACAAUGGGCGAAAGCCUGAUCCAGCCAUUCCGCGUGCAGGAUGAAGGCCCUCGGGUUGUAAACUGCUUUUGUACGGAACGAAAAGGCUCUUGCUAAUACCAGGAGUCCAUGACGGUACCGUAAGAAUAAGCACCGGCUAACUACGUGCCAGCAGCCGCGGUAAUACGUAGGGUGCAAGCGUUAAUCGGAAUUACUGGGCGUAAAGCGUGCGCAGGCGGUUUUG
rnacentral:rRNA from 1 species